AGAUUCACAGUUUCACCUUUUGCAUGUGUAAUGCCUGUGGGAUAUAAAUAACUCUCCCCUAAAGCCUUCUUCUUGAGUAGCAUAUUUGCAUAAAGCUACAGCCUCAGAAACCUUCUGACACCUUUCGCGCACACACAGAAAAAAUUGUUCAUUUCCUUAAAGGGCAAGCUGGCUAAUGUUCACAGAAAACAUGGGUGGGGUGGGCAAGGAGGCCCUGUCUUCUCCCUAACUUUUUUUUUUCCUUCUCAAGCCAUGUUCCCAGUCUCCUGUGUUAACUGGAGAGGCGUUAGUCCAAAAGGCAAAAAUGGACUGUUUGGUGAUGGAGACUGAGCAGAGGUGGGCUAAAAGGAAUGGAAGGAGACUAACUGGUGAAGAAGGAGCAAAGAGUGAGGAACAAAAUGAAGUCUUGCUAUAUUACCCAAACUGGUCUCAAACUCUUGGCCUCUGGAAAUCCUCCAACCUCAGCCUCCCAAGGUGCUGGAAUUACAGGUAAUAACCACUGUGCCCAGUUAAGGUGCAACUUCUUUGUGGAGCUUUUCUUUACUUCUCCAAGCAAAAUUAGUUGCUCCCUUCUCUAUGUUCUCUGUACAUUUUAGUUCAUAUCAUAUAAAAUUGCC